rnacentral:sRNA from 1 species
GUCGUGAGAUGUUGGGUUAAGUCCCGCAACGAGCGCAACCCUUGUCCCUAGUUGCUACGCAAGGGCACUCUAGGGAGACUGCCGGUGACAAACCGGAGGAAGGUGGGGAUGACGUCAAGUCCUCAUGGCCCUUAUGGGUAGGGCUUCACACGUCAUACAAUGGCCGGUACAGAGGGUUGCCAAAGCGCGAGCUGGAGCCAAUCCCAGAAAGCCGGUCGUAGUCCGGAUUGCAGUCUGCAACUCGACUGCAUGAAGUCGGAAUCGCUAGUAAUCGCGGAUCAGCAUGUCGCGGUGAAUACGUUCCCGGGUCUUGUACACACCGCCCGUCACACCAUGGGAGCGGGAUGUACCAGAAGUAGGUAGGCUAACCGCAAGGGGGCCGCUUACCACGGUGCGUUUCGUGACUGGGGUGAAGUCGUAACAAGGUAGCCGUAUCGGAAGGUGCGGCUGGAUCACCUCCUUUCUAGAGAUAACCCAUGUCUUCAAGUGUCCACUCUUAUCGGUUGUUGCUCUCAGGGAUCAGGCAUCAGGGAUCAGGUAUCAGUGAAAUAGAGCGCGCGCGAAGCGCGCGGUAAAAUUCUGAUUCCUGAUGCCUGAUCCCUGAUUCCUGACAUGGGCCUGUAGCUCAGCUGGUUAGAGCACCGUCUUGAUAAGGCGGGGGUCGAUGGUUCGAAUCCAUCCAGACCCACCAACCAGGGAUCAGGUAUCAGUCAAUAGAGCGCGCGCGAAGCGCGCGGUAAAAUUCUGAUUCCUGAUGCCUGAUCCCUGAUUCCCGAAAAAGGGCUGUAGCUCAGUUGGGAGAGCACCUGCUUUGCAAGCAGGGGGUCGUCGGUUCGAUCCCGUCCAGCUCCACCAGUGUCAGGGAUCAGAAGUCAGGAAUCAGGAAUCAGAAGAGGUCAUAAGCAAGCGAUGAGGCGUUUGCUCCUGACCUUUGGGUCAGACCGCAGGUCAGAGGUUCGGUAGGGCAGUUUCUGAUGCCUGAUUCCUGACCUCUGAUACCUGAAAACGGUUGUUCUUUAAAAAAAUGGAAGAAGUAAAGCGCAUACGACGGAACACUGUCGUAUGUUGGGUUAGAUUGUAUCGAACCAUUCUGUCCUAGUCCGAUAGAGUGGAAAUCGCAAACACCCGUAACAAAGAGCAGCAGUGCUCAGCGUUAUGGGGUCAAGCGACUAAGUGCGUGUGGUGGAUGCCUUGGCGAUUACAGGCGAUGAAGGACGUGGCAGCCUGCGAAAAGCUCCGGGGAGCUGGCAAACAAGCAUUGAUCCGGAGAUGU